GAUUGGAACUGGCGAGCCCUGAGCUGCCAAAUCAGAGCUCAUGAACUUAACUGCUAUGCCACUGGGCUGGCCCCUGCAAAUUGCAUUUUUGCAAUCUGAUCCUGUAGAAGCUGGCUCCAGUGCACCACUGGCCCUAAUGCUGCAGAUGCCUGAGGAGCUCCUUUCUGUGAAUUUACUCCAGUUGCCACACCCUGGGCCCCUAGAGCAGUGUUUGUCUCCUGGCAGGCCUCAGUAAGUAAUUGUUGAAGCAGUGAAAAGAUGAAAAAACCCAGAGCACUUGGAAGAAGUUCUAGGGGCUAUGGAAGAACGUGUAUGAAUCCUACCUUGGGCUUUUACUAAAAGAACAUGCUCUCUGCCAUGGAUAGUGUGGGUUUGAUGCUGGCUUUGGAGGGCUGUAGAAAGGGUACUAAAGUUCCCGAGAGGAGGUUGGAAUUCUGGAGUUUUAAGUCCUUCCAAGCCUCCUGCAUCUGUCAUUCUAGGUAUCGUUAGCGUGCAUUUUACUUCUUCUCUAGUUGUGCCCAAAGCUGAAGUAAGCAUACAAUAAUAGCUAAAACAUUAUUGACUGAUAAUAUGCAUUCAGUAAAAUUUCAGCUGAAUGAAUGGAUAUUACUCUGUAUAAAAGAAAAGAAAAUUGCAAAAUAAGUAAUCUUCCAGUAAAAUGGAAAAGUCAAAUCAUGUAAUUCAUUCCAGUACCCAGAAUUUAUGACUUUGGGGUUAUCCACUUUUAUUGGAAGAGCCAGAACAUACCUCUUCUGUGGGUGCUGUUUAUCAGGAGGGCUUGUAUGUGCUGAAGUACUCCUAUGUAAUUGUAUAUGGGUCGAUAUUUGUGAUCAUGAUGUUGUGCUGCUAUAUGCCACACAUCGUAGGGUU
rnacentral:lncRNA from 1 species